rnacentral:rRNA from 1 species
AUUGAACGCUGGCGGCAGGCCUAACACAUGCAAGUCGAACGGUAACAGGAAACAGCUUGCUGUUUCGCUGACGAGUGGCGGGCGGGUGAGUAAUGUCUGGGAAACUGCCUGAUGGAGGGGGAUAACUACUGGAAACGGUAGCUAAUACCGCAUAACGUCGCAAGACCAAAGAGGGGGACCCUCGGGCCUCUUGCCAUCGGAUGUGCCCAGAUGGGAUUAGCUUGUUGGUGGGGUAACGGCUCACCAAGGCGACGAUCCCUAGCUGGUCUGAGAGGAUGACCAGCCACACUGGAACUGAGACACGGUCCAGACUCCUACGGGAGGCAGCAGUGGGGAAUAUUGCACAAUGGGCGCAAGCCUGAUGCAGCCAUGCCGCGUGUAUGAAGAAGGCCUUCGGGUUGUAAAGUACUUUCAGCGGGGAGGAAGGGAGUAAAGUUAAUACCUUUGCUCAUUGACGUUACCCGCAGAAGAAGCACCGGCUAACUCCGUG